GAUGAAGAACGCAGCGAAAUGCGAUAAGUAAUGUGAAUUGCAGAAUUCAGUGAAUCAUCGAAUCUUUGAACGCACCUUGCACUCCUUGGUAUUCCGAGGAGUACGCCUGUUCGAGUGUUAUGAAGCUCUCAAAACGCAAUUGGCUUAAAACCUGAUUGUUGUUUUGGAUUUGAACUUUGCCGUGUUAUAACGGCUGGUUUUAAAAGUAUUAGCUGGUACUAGAACGAAUUGGUUCUACUCAACGUGAUAAUUAUCUGAUCGUUGAGGACAUUCCUUUCACGAGGAAUGGCCAUAGUAAAUUCAAUGGACUGCUUCUAAUCUGGCUUUAAUUCUUUAUUGGAUUAACCACUUUUCAAAUCUGACCUCGAAUCAGGUGGGACUACCAGCUGAACUUAAGCAUAUCAAUAGCGGAGGA
rnacentral:misc_RNA from 1 species